GCGGGUGUGGCCGAGCGGUUGAAGGCGCCGGGCCGAAGACCCGGUGGGUGCUUGCACCCCGAGGGUUCGAAUCCCUCCGCUCGCG
rnacentral:tRNA from 2 species